GACUAAGCAAGCUCUCGGGUUAGCGCUCCGGCCCUCGCCUAUUGCCCAGCGGGAGGAGCCGGUAUUUCCGGAUUGGAGUCUCAGACCCUGGGAUCCCGGCUAAGGGCGAAGGGGAAGGGAAGCCGAUCAUAAAAGCUAACUUUUCACCAAAAUCGUUAACCUGCUUCCCAUCCCCUAGACAAAAACAAAGACCCCCAAACACACGCAACAGCCCACAACCAUCCUUCCCGUGGUCUGUUGACGGUAACAGGAGCUGACCCCUUCCUUGCCAACAUCCCUGGAGAGGUUCAAGAAGCAGACCUGGGCACGAAUAAAGAAAGCAGCACAGCGAAUUCCGCGCGCCCUCGGCGGGAAGAAAGCUCGGCGGCAGUUUCACAGAGAAGGGAAGAGGCGGGGCAGCGGGCGCGCCGGCUCGGGGACAAGGCGGCCGCGGCCCCUGCCCCAUCGCUGGGUGGCGUGUGAGGCUCCCCUCCGUCCUUCCCGACACCCCAAAGUAGAGCUUCGAGAAGCUGCGUCGGCCUCCCCGAGCUCGCACGCCGGGCACCCUCGGGGUCUCCGGGAAGCAGGUGACAGCCGUGGCCCACCCGUGUCCCCUCCGGGCCUCCGCUCUCUGGCUCGCCGCCGUCCAACACUCCCUGCCCCCAGCCUGGAUAUUUUUUUUUUUCUUUCUCCCAAACCUCCUAACAGGAAAUAGUUUGGGUCACACUAAUACACGGGAGCAGCGGCCGAGGCCACUCGCGCGCGCCCACUCCCGGGGCAGCCUCCUGCACUCCGGCGCGGGCGAGGCGCCGCCGGCGACAAGCGCGGGGAGCGCAGGGGCCACCCGCCCAGCAGCCGGUGCCGCCUCGGAUGCGCCCGAGCGCCGCCCGCGCCCUGUGCCGGACUCCGCCGACUGCCCCCAGAUGAGAAAACUGAAGCUCAGAGAGAUUGAAGGGUUUACAUGGACCUGGCUGCUUCAGAUUCCUCUUGUUCUCAGCCAGUAGAUCUACUGGUCUGGAUGACUUCCCUAGAGAGGUGAUCCAGACCUUUGUCCCAGCUACCAUGCCUUUCUCAAACUGUGGCUGCUUUACAUGUCCUUUUACUGUACCAAGAGAUGUUCAGUGGAUCACCUGAACGCCAAGGUCUUCCUCCCUGCCAGCAUUGUGUACCAGCAGCCCCACCUGCUCCUGAUAAUCAGCAUGAAUGACCCCUGCCAGGAGCAUGACUCCUCUCCUAGCCUGCUGGUCUCUGGGAACAAGGAUCCUGAAGAGUUGGGGCAGGAGCCAUAGCUCAAAGUUAAAUGAAACUCUUGCCAUGUUUCCUAAUGGGCACAUUCUCUCCCUGGAAACAGGCCCUCCAGACCAGCAUUGAUUGCCCAGAGUUACAAGAAAAGGAAGCACAAAUUCUCCAGGUGGCUCACUGAGAGUGAUGAUGGUGCUUGAUCUCUACAGAAGGAUCAAUAGUUCACUUCUAUGGUGAUCUUUCUUGGAAACAUCUUAAUUCUUCCUUCUUCCCUCUGUCUCUUUGGACUUUGCUUUUAGAGGAUAAGUUAGCUGAGCCUUUUCAGCCGUCACUUCUGCUUUGAAGCCAAGCAGCCUACCAGGUCCUUUGAAAGAGAAGGGGCCUCAUUCCUGGGUGCAAAAUUUAAAAAGGAGACUCAAUGAAGAAAGCUCACCCAGUCAUGCUUUUUGGGGGCUGGACCAAGCAAACAAUCACUUUAAGCCACUGGGUCUUUGUAUUUCUGGAAAAAAAGCACUUUGUUUGGACUAUGGGAGGCAUUUGGUGCUUUUUGUUUUUCCAAUUUAACUGCCCAAGGGCUCCAGCAGCCCCCUGAGUGACUAGGGUGCAGGCAAGAGACUCUCACGCGUGCCCAUGGAUUGGUUCUGGGUCCUGUCUUCUAUCCGAAGGAGAAAAACUGGAUCAUCACUCGCCCAUCUAUUAUUUCUCCUUGGAGUGACUCUCUAUCCAGAAUGCCCACAAAACCCUGGAUAAAGCUAAGAAAUUUGGAAGAAACAUGUAAGUUAAAACUAGCUCAAAGUCACUUGCUUCUUCUAUUUAUUUAUUUGGUCUAAGAUGAUUCCCACAUUCACUUACCAUAUGGCAUUAAAUCAUUCUGGUCCUUGAGUUAUUAUUACAUGAUUCAAAGAGUAUAAUUUACAGAAUUGCCAGCCCAGGCUGCACUCUGUCCCACACCAAAAAAAGACCACAAAGAGGGGAGAAGAAAAAUGACUGUUUCCUGGUAGCCCAUAUUUACGCAAUUUUCUCCCACCACAGAUUGUUUUGGCAGUCUAGACAGAGUCUUGUAAAAUCCUUCCCUGAUGUCAUCCACAUCCUUCCUUGAUAAGUUCAAAAUGAGUCCGGAGCAAGCAUGGCUCCUCCAGCAAUGUCAUACAAAUAAUUAGUGCAGUGCCACCCUGGAGAGCCCUUUGGAAUCCAGUGAUUUCCACAUGAAGGAACGGACUGAUGAGCUG
ensembl:lncRNA